AUGUCGGUCUUAGUCGUCACCAGCGUGGGCGAUCUUGUGGUGGAUCUCCACACCGAUCAGUGCCCCCGCGCCACCUACAACUUCCUCAAGCUCUGCAAGAUGAAGUACUACAACGGGUGCCUGUUCCACAAGGUGGCCAAGGGUUUCGUGGCGCAUACCGGGGACCCGACCGGGACCGGCAAUGGCGGUGAUUCCGUGUACAAGUUCCUCCAUGGUGAUCAGGCUCGGUUUUUCGACGACGAGAUCCAUCCCGAACUGAGGCACUCAAAGAUUGGCACGGUCGCCAUGGCAAGCGCCGGGCAAAACCGCAACGCCUCGCAGUUCUACAUCACGCUGCGGGACGACGUGGAAUACCUCGAUGAUAAGCACACCGUGUUUGGGAUAGUUGCUGAAGGUGAAGGUCUUGACACACUGACGAAGAUAAACGAAUCAUAUGUUGAUGGUGAUGGGAGGCCAUUCAAGGACAUAAGGAUUAAACAUACUUAUGUGUUGUAUGACCCUGACGAUGAUCCUGCUGAGCUUGCUGAACUUAUUCCUCCAAAUUCUCCAAUUGGAAAGCCGAUCGACGAGAUUGCGGAGGAGCGCUUAGAGGAUACCUGGGUCCCUCUCGAUGAAACAGUGGAUCCUGUGCAGCUUCAGGAGAUGAUCCGCUCUAAAGAAGCGCAUACGAAUGCCGUGAUCCUUGCGAGUAUUGGAGACAUUCCAGAUGCCGAGGUCAAGCCACCAGACAAUGAUGAGGACCUGUAUACAAUCUUUUCUCGCAUCGGAACCGUGACAUCGGCUGAAACAAUCCGUGACUACAAGACUGGUGACAGCUUGUGCUAUGCUUUUGUUGAGUUUGAGGCAAAGGAAGCCUGCGAGUGUGCACACAGGGAUAUGAACAAUUGUCUGAUUGAUGACCGGAGGAUUCAAGUUGAUUUUAGUCAAAGCGUUUCAAAGUUGUGGCGUCAGUUCAGACAGGGCACACGGAAUGCAAGUAAAGAUGGGUGCUUCAAGCGUCAUGCCCCUGAUUACCGAGCCCGGGAUCUGGAUAAGGGUGCUGAGAAGAAAAACAAGGAUCGAGAUUAUGUUCUGAGAGAUGAAAACACUCAGCGAGGUGGCAGUAACCAUCGAAGUUAUGAUUUAGUCUUUGAUGAGGACGGUGCUAGUGCUGGUAAUAAGCAAGAUCAUCGAAAUGGUGAUCGAAGAAAGGCCCAGAAAUUGGGGGAUUGCCGAUCAGAGGUACCACACAAGCGUGAUCGUGAUAGGAACAACAGGGACAAACUCCAUACUAGCGAGGGAGGGGGUCGGAGGCAUGAUGACCACAUCAGUUACGAUAGAUCUAGUGAUCGAAGCUAUAGUAGACGCAACAAUCGUGACUAUGGCAAGCAGCAGAGCAAGAGCAGGCGCAGGGAUGAUUAA
rnacentral:rRNA from 1 species